GGAUCCGGGAGAGAAUAUCAUUCAAUUAUUGAAUAAUUGGAGCCCAGACUAGUAAUGUGGUGACCCAUAAUAGAUAAGAACAAAUGCUUAUUUAAAAUGGCGGCCUGGCAAACGACAAGGGCCACUUGAGUUAAGGGUUAAGAAAUAUAUAAUAAAAAGUUUGGGAACCACUGCUGUACUGUUGUACUGACACUCGUGCCCUGAAGGCUAUGCUUUGAGCAGCCACAAAUAUUCUUGUAAAAAGGUAAAAACAAUUUACAUGCAUGCAAUUUGUCAUAUGAAUUGUAUAGGUAAAGAGGGAGGAUUGUGAUGCUAAAUAAAAUGGCUGUUAUCUUCACAUUGGAUUACAUUCUGCUGUUAGUCUGCAUUGCUUUUACAUGGUGAUAUCUGAAUAGUUAAUACAAUAGCAAUUGUAUCUUUGCUUAAGCUCUUUUUGUGUUUGUUUCAGAUCAACGGAUAGCUUUGUCAUUAACACUAUGACAGAGUGCCAGACCUUGUCGAAAGAUUUAAAAGCUUCCACGUAAUAUGUCAAAGUGACUCCAAUAGAUGAAUAGAGCCGGCCAUUGGAUUCCUGGAGGAAAGGCUGCGGAACGUCAGGAAGCGGCUGAGAUCAACCAGCAGGUCGCAGAGCACGGCACAGACACCACCACAAACGCCAGAUGAUGGCGCUCUUGCAAGGGCUCUCAUACCAGACCGUACCAUAUCAGACGAACGUGGGUCACAGCUUAAAGAAUGGUUGGGAAAUGAUUCUCAGCCCCUCAGCCAGAUAGAGACCUACAUGCCGAACACAGCAGUCUACAGGGCCAAGUGGAUUAGGGACAACAAUUGGACCAUCGAUCAGAUCCUCGAAGAGUUCCCUCACCUAAUGACCAAAGGCAUGAUUGCACAGGCUUGUCCUGCAUGGGGAUGCUGCAUCAAAGUUGUUUGAAACUUGGUCACGUGAAAUGCCAGGAGGGGAGUCUAAAAUGGUAAAGUUUAUUCAAAGUAGAAUACUUGCUUGCAAGUAGAGCUAAUGGCUCUUAAUAGCAGCUUUUUAAUAGGAAUUUGAAUUUGUUCAGUAUAGACCUGUUGAAUGUUCAGCCAGUUCAUUCGUAAUUGUUGUUUUGCUCUGAAUG